CAGAUACAUGUGCGCAUGCACGUGUACACACAUGCAUGCAUACACACAUGCAUUUGUAGAUAUAUGUGUAGGUGUGUACACACAACAUACACAUAUGCAUCCACACAUACACAUAUACAUAUGAGGUGGCACGUUCAGCUUUCAAGAGGACCAUCAGGGACUUUGUCACCUUGACAACUUUAGCCUUGCCUUCUAGUCACCUUGCCGGAACACUUGUGCCCGUGUUUUUCUAGCACUGUCAUAAGAAUACUUUUACCUAUCAAGGCAACUGGGGGUUAGGAGAGCUUUUUGCACAGGAGGCUACUUGGCUUUGUUUGAAAACUGAUGAUACAUGAGGAUUGGGGUGGUGAAUCACUCACAUGUUUCUUCAUAUGAAAAAUGAGGACUGUGGGAUUCUCUGGCUGGAUCUCAGCACCUAGAAAUGGAUCUGGGCAAUAGGAACUGCUCAGUAUUAGCUACCGCUUUGGUUGCCUUCUCCUUGCGGAAAGCUGGCCUCUCACACUGAAUUUGUAUCAUAGGCACUCAUGAGGGUCUUGACUGUAUCAAUAUCUGAUGAGAGAUUUUAGUGCAGUUCUGUUAUCGUGGCUGAUUUGCUCAUUUGGUAGCUAGCAUCCAGCUUCUUGUGAACAUUAAAAUAAAAUAAAAUAGAUUAUGGAGGAAUAGAAUACAGAUACGUAGUAAGGUAUUAUUUUCCAGACAAAAUGGAUUUGGAUAAAAGAAUCUAAUUAAGAACUUGUGCAUGAUUCUUUUAAAAUUCUUUUGAAUCCAUUUUUUUUUUUUUGGCCUGUUUUCAAGUCUCCGAUUUUUGUCACCCUUCUCACACCAGGUCAGAGAGAUAGCUAAUGGUCAGAAGGAAUCUUCCAGCAAUGACCAUAGCGCUUUCUCCUGCCUGCAGAUGCCUCUUUUUAUUCAGCCUUUAUGGGAAGUAGCAGCACCAUCCAGUUCUCAGAGAGCAAGCUCUGGAGUAACUGAGCUAACCCCAGUUACCCCAGUGGAUUUACAGAUUGAGGUUACAACCCAGCAGGGUUCUCUUCCUGGAAAGAAUAGCCUUCCCUCUAAGGUUUCAAAUAGACCCUGGGUGAGGAAGGAGCCCUAAACAGCUUGAAAAAUUGAAUGCUCUUUGGGCAAAGCAGGAAGCCGUCCUAUGGAAGAGCAUCAUUUGAGCAUAAAUCAGGUUAUCAGGACAAACAGAGUGUUCAGGAGGUCAAGAUGGUUAAGCAGAGACCCUGACCAGAAUGUCCGUGGCGGAGAGAAACAAUCUUGUUGGGAAAAGGAUGACAAUAAUUGGGGACUUAGAAUAAAGGCUAAAAAUGAUUCAAAGAGAAUGCAAAAAGAAUCAGGCACAAAUCGUUUACUAUACUCUGUUAUGCAAAUCUCACCUUACUAUGUGUUUGUAUUCUAUUCCUCCACAAUCUUUAUUUUAUUUUAAUGUUCAAAGAGACUUGUAGGUGCCAAUUAAAUGAACAAAACAGCCAGAGACAACAGAACUGCCCUAAAAAAAGUCCCGCAUCAGCUCUUGAGAGCAGGUUCCUUAAAGGUGAACAAUAUUCCACAUACAAGGACUUUUUCAGCACCAUGCAUUAGAAAUGGAAGUGAAUGUUUAUUAUUUUUUGUAUAAGUUGGUUGAUAUGGCUUUUCAGCUUCCCUCAGUAUCAUUAUCCAAAUUUUGUAGAUGACACUAAAGCUCAGAGGAGUUAAACCAUUUUCCUUAAAUCACAUAGCUUUAAAUAGGAAAACCAGAUAUGAAAAGCAGAUUUUUUUUCUAAAUUAAAAAACCAAAAACAAAAACACGUGAGCUCUUGCUUUACCCUAGCACAUAGUCUUGCCAUCUGUUUUCUCCACACCAGGUGAUUCCUGUAACAUUCAUUCACAUAACAAAUACAAAUAAAUGAGUGGAUUCAUUCAUCAGAUAUUAAUUCAGAAUCCCUUUUGUGCCUUCCAGAAAUCUGGACCAUCUCACAACCCCCAGAGAGUCUCAGCUACAAGGAACAAGUGAUAAUGCCAUCCCACUUUUAUAAACACACACACACACACAUGCAAUACACACACAAUCAUUUAAUCAUUUUUAAUUAUUUAAUUAUUUUUUAAAAAUCAGUGACACUUUAGCUGGGCAGGUCUAGAUAGGUCUUCUUUGCUGGGACGUGUCUUUUUCUGUCCUGGAAUACCCUAAACUUCACAUUUUGGCAGCGUGAGUUUUCCCUUUGUGACUUUCUCCUUCUUCCCUUUUUUCCUCCUUCUUUGCAGAGAAUGAGUAGCCACUGCACCUUGCCCUGCGCCAUCAAUGAGAAGAUCUGCUCUUAGUAGAGCCCUGCUUUCCCGCUGAAGGCCCUGAAAUCACCUGUGUUCCAGGCCACCCACUAAGGAUAAACAAAGCUUCCCUGAUAUGGGGAAUUAGCUCAAGUGGUAGAGCGCUUGCUUAGCAUGCAAGAGGUAGUGGGAUCAAUGCCCACAUUCUCCAAGCUUUAUUAUUUAGGUACCCAAACCCGAGUCAGUGUCUGAGAGCAAGACACUGCUCUCGGUGUCUUUGGUUCAAGACAUAGGAGCAGCAACAAUACAGGACUGGUGACAGCUUCCUGCUGGCAUUCAGUAUAGUGUAGAUCUACUGUGUAAUUAAUUUUCUGUUUCUUCGAGGAGCUGUGAAACCAAAGGACAUAUAAAACUGCUCUUUUCUCCCUGUUUCUGCCUGCAGCUUGGUCCUAAAUGUGAGACAAUUGUGAAAAGUGGAGGACAGAGCCACCUGGUUAAAUACAGCCCCAGCUUUCUGGUGAGAGGACUGAAACCAAGAUGUGUCAAGUAACUAGAAUGUGCCUGGACAGAUACUGUAGAAAGCAAAACCAUAAAGUUGUUCAUGAGCUUGUGGACGCACCUGCCAGCUGUGAAUAAGUGGCUCUAAUCCCGAACAACUUACCUAAAAAGAGCCUGAGAGCUGAACUGUGCAAUGGCCCACUUUCCAGUCCUCACUGACCACUGGGUUGCACACACUUUGGAGAUCUCUGAACAGCAGUGUCAAGGCUUUCAAAUAGAGUUAUCUUUGAAACGACAACACAUGAAAGUCUGGUUGGUACUUGGAGCUUAAAUACAAGGCAAUUGUGUGCCUGCAAAAACAAAAAUAGCAAUAUUAUCCUUAAGAUUUCAACAAGACACAGUGUCUCAUCACAUAAUCCAAAGAAGUCCAGGUUACAAGCCCCACAAUAUUCAGCAUUAUGAAAAAACAGGGAGAUCUUAAUUCACAUGGCAAAGAGAAUCCUCGAAUAACAAUAUUGAGAGGACACAGAUGUCAAAAUCAUCUGACACAUACAUUAAAGCAGAUAUUAUAACAAUGCUCCUAGAAUCGGGGAUAACAUUCGUGAAGUGAAUGGAAAGUUGGAAAGUCUCACCAAAUAUUUCGAAUACAUAAACACCAAUUUAAACUUAAGAAUUAAAAAAAUGUAUUAACCAAAACUCUUAGGGGAAAUAAAAAGCUUAAUUGGAGGAUCUCCAUAAUCGAAUGCAGAAGACUAAGGAAAAAGUCAAUGAACUUGAAAACAGAACACGAAUACCUACAUAAUCUGAACUAUAGAGAGAAAGGAGGAUUUUAUUGUCUCUGAACAGAGGCUCAGGCACAAAUAAAAAAUAACAAAUCCAACAUUCACAUUAUUGUAAUCUGGAAAGAAGAGGACAAAGUGGUCUUUGUGGGAUAAAACUUUGAACAAUUAAUAGCUGAAAAUGGUUCAAAUUUGUCAAAAGAUAUAAACCAGAUUUUUAAAGUUCAGUAAAUGUCAAUCAGGAUAAACCCAAAGAAACCCAUAGCAAGGCAUAUCAUAAUCAAACUGCUGAAAACUAAGAAAAUACAAAACAAUUUUGAAAGCAGCCAAAGGGAAAUGAAAGAGAAACUACCAAAUGAAUGAUUGUAGAUUUCGCAUCAGGAACCAUAGGGGCCAGAAAAAAUGUCAUAACAUUCGGUAAGUAACAAAAGAAAAAGACAUAUCGACCCAGAAUGCUAUGUGGAGCAAAAGUAUCUUCCAGACAUAAAGGCAAAUAAAUGCAUUCUCAGUGGAAGGUAAGUAAAUACAUUCUCAUUCUUAGGAAGACUGCUGGAAAAGAAUUAGCAAAGAUUUGAGAUAAGAAAAAUGAUACCAGAAGGAAACUUAGAACAUCAUCAGUGAAGGAACAAAAGCAGAAAUAGAACAUGUCUGGGUAGACAUAACAGACUAUUAUUCUUCCCUUGAGUUCCUUAAGGAGACUACGGAAAAGAAGAGUGACUAAGAUCUCUGAAGAAGGGAAAAGCUAGAUGACUGGGCCACAAGAGGAAAAAAAGCAGCAAGACAGAGAUUUGUUGGUGCCAACUAAAUGAGCCCAACAGCCAGUGACAACAGAACUGCACUAAAAAAAGUCCCUCAUCAGCUCUUGAGAGCAGGUUCCUUAAAGAGAAUGAGUAGCCACUGCACCUUGCCCUGGGCCAUCAGUGAGAAGAUCUGCUCUUAGUAGAGCCCUGCUUUCCCGCUGAAGGCCCUGAAAUCCCCUGUGUUCCAGGCCACCCACUAAGGAUCAAUAAAGCUCCCCUGAUGUGGGGGAAUUAGCUCAAGUGGUAGAGCGCUUGCUUAGCAUGCAAGAGGUAGUGGGAUCGAUGCCCACAUUCUCCAAACUUUAUUAUUUAGACCCUGGGUCUCCAAACACUCAGGUCUCCAAACCCAAGUCAGAGAACAGGAUGCUGCUUUGGUUCAAGAUGUAGGAGCAGCAACAAUACAGGGCUGGUGACGGCUCCCUCCUGGCAUUCAGUAUAGUGUAGAUCUACCGUGUAAUUAAUUUUCUGCUUCUUUGAGGAGCUGUGAAACCAAGGGACAUAAACAAUUGCUCUUUUCUCCCUGUUUCUGCCUGUAGCUUGAAUGUGAGGCAACUGUGAAAAGUGCAGGGCAGAGCCACCUGGGUAAAUACAGCCCUGGCUUUCUGGUGAGAGGACUGAAACCAGGAUGUGUCAAGUAACUAGAAUGUGCCUGGACAGAUACUGUAGAAAGCAAACCCAUAAAGUUGUUCAUGAGCUUGUGGACGCACCUGCCAGCUGUGAAUAAGUGGGUCUAAUCCCAAACAACUUACCUAAAAAGAGCCUGAGGACUGAACUAAACAAUGGUCCACUUUCCAGUCCUCACUGACCACUGGUUGCACACACUCCAGAGAUCUCUCAUCCGCAGUGUCAAGGCUUUCAAAUAGAGUUAUCUGUGAAACAACAACACAUGGAAGUCUGGUUGGUACUUGGAGCUUAAAUACAAGGCAAUUGUGUGCCUGCAAAAACAAAAAGAGCAAUAUUAUCCUUAAGAUUUCAACAAGACACAGUGUCUCAUCACAUAAUCCAAAGAAGUCCAGGUUACAAGCCCCAAAAUAUUCAGCAUUAUGAAAAACCAGGGAGAUCUUAAUUCACAUGGCAAAGAGAAUCCUUGCAUAACAAUAUUGAGAGGACACAUAUGUCAAAAUCAUCUGACACAUACAUUAAAGCAGUUAUUAUAACAAUGCUCCUAGAAUUACGGGAUAGCAUUCAUGAAGUGAAUGGAAAGUUGGAAAGUCUCACCAAAUAUUUGGAAUAUGUAAACACCAAUUUAAACUUAAGAAUUAAAAAAAGUAUUAACCAAAACUAUUAGGGGAAAUAAAAAGCUUAAUUGGAUGAUCUCAAUAGCAGUAUGCAGAAGACUAAGGAAAAAGUCAAUGAACUUGAAAACGGAACAAGAAUACCUACAGAAUCUGACCUAUAGAAAGAAAGGAGGAUUUUAUUGUCCCUGAACAGAGGCUCAGGGACAAAUAAAAAAUAACAAAUCUAACAUUCACAUUAUUGUAAUCUGGAAACAUUCACAUUAUUGUAAGAGGACAAAGAGGUCUUUGUGGGAUAAAACUGUGAAGAAUUAAUGGCUGAAAAUGUAUCAAAUUUCUCAAAAGAUAUAAACCAGAUUUUUAAAGUUCAGUAAAUGUCAAGCAGGAUAAACCAAAAGAAACCCAUUGCAAGACAUAUCAUAAUCAAACUGCGGAAAAUUAAGAAAACACAAAACAAUUUUGAAAGCAGCCAAAGGGAAAUGAAAGAUAAAAUACCAAAUGAAUGAUUGUAGAUUUCUCAUCGGGAACCCAGGAGCCAGAAAAAAAUGUCAUAACAUUCAGUAAAUACCAAAGGAAAAAUACAUUAUCAACCCAGAAUGGUAUGUGGAGCAAAAGUAUCUUCCAGACAUAAAGGCAAAUAAAUGCAUUCUCAUUGGAAGGUAAAUAAAUACAUUCUCAGUCCUAGCAAAACUGCUGGAAAAGAAUUAGCAAAGGUUUGAGAUAAGAAAAGUGAUACCAGAAGGAAACUUAGAACAUCAUCAAUGAAGGAACAAAAGCAGAAAUAGAAAAUGUCUGGGUAGACAUAACAGACUAUUAUUCUUCUCUUGAGUUCCUUAAGGUAUGUUUGAUGGUUGAAAGCAAAAAUUGUAACUUUAUCUGAUGCAGUUGUCAUUGUAUCUAGAUGUACUACAUACAUAAGAUAAAAGGGUAAAUGUAAUGGGACUAACUCUUGAUGAAGUUUCUAUAUUCAACUUGAAUGGUAAAAUAUUGAUUCUUAGUAUACUGUGAAAAGUUAUAUAUGUAUAUGGUAAUCCCUAGACCACUUAACAACCAGAUUGAAAUAAACCAAAACAAGAUAGACAGAGGAACAUAGAAGAAUUAAAACAAAGGGAAAAAAGGUUAAUAAAUUAUUAAAUAGUAGAUCUAUCUAAAAACUUAUCUAUAAUAACAUUAUAUGUAAAUUAUCUAAAUGCAUUAAGUAAAAACUAGAGAUCAUCAGAAUGUGUUAAAAAUAAAUAUGCUGACUAAAGAAAGCCACCUGCAAUACACUUAUAAAUAAGAAUAAAAGUUAUAGAGCAGAUUGAAAGAAAAGAGUGGGAAAAGAUACCUCAUGCAAGCAUUAAUCAAAGACAGCUGUGGUGUAUAUAUAUAAAAUCAGACAAAGUAGAUUUGAAAGCAGAGAAACUUUUCAGGAAUAAUGAGGCCUCCUAAAUAAUUAUGAUUGUCAAUUUUUCAGGAGAAUAUUGUCCCAAAUGUAUAUGAGGACACAGAGCUUCAAAACUCAUAAACAAAAUUGGAUACGCCAAGUAAAAAUAGAAAAAUCCAGUUAUAGUUGCAGUCAUUAACACUCCUCUCUGAGUAAUUGGAAGAUUUAGUGGAACACAAAUCAACAGACAUACUGGAGAAUUGAACCAUGCCAUCCAGUAAUGGACCUAUCAAUUUCAUAAUGCAAAAUAAAAAUUCAGGUAGAAAGCAAAGACAAAAAUUAAAAGAAAAGCAAGAUCAUGUUAUAAUGAGAAAAUUAAGAGUAGUCCAGUGUAUAGAAGGGUGCUAUUAUUGAAAGAGUUUGAAAUAGUGACUUAGUUAUUUUGAAACAUUUUUGAAGACGUUAUUUAGCUGGAAAUGACAGAAAGACUGAAAAUGGUGAAUGUGGAGGUGGAUCUUCCCUUGUCCAUAUUUAUCUUGUCUUCGUUUGAGGUCUGGGGUGUCUAUACUUCCUCUGAAUUACCUGAUCUUACUACAGUGUCUGGCACAGAGCAUCUCCCCAGUGAAUAUGUACUAAAUGAGUAGAAAGUAAUUGAUAGAUUCAAAAGAGUUGUGCAAGAAUAAUGUUCAUUAUUUGACUAAUCACUGAAUGUGGUGUUUCAAGGAAGACAAUGAAUCAAAGUUGACUUGAAAGGUAAGCCCAGGGCCAGACGUGGUGGCUCAUUUCUGUAAUCCCAGCACUUUGGGAGGCCGAGAUCAGUGGAUCCCUUGACACCAGG
rnacentral:tRNA from 1 species